rnacentral:rRNA from 1 species
AUACGGAGGGUGCGAGCGUUGUUCGGAAUUAUUGGGCGUAAAGCGUAUGUAGGUGGUUAGAUAAGUCUAUGGUGAAAUUUCCUGGCUUAACUGGGAAGUGCAUUGGAUACUGGCAGACUUGAAUACGGGAGAGGGCAGUGGAAUUCCUGGUGUAGGAGUGAAAUCCGUAGAUAUCAGGAGGAACACCGGUGGCGAAGGCGGCUGCCUGGACCGAUAUUGACGCUGAGACGCGAAAGCGUGGGUAGC